UACGUAGGGGGCAAGCGUUGUCCGGAUUUAUUGGGCGUAAAGAGCGUGUAGGCGGCCAGGUAGGUCCGUUGUGAAAACUCGAGGCUCAACCUCGAGACGCCGAUGGAAACCAUCUGGCUAGAGUCCGGAAGAGGAGAGUGGAAUUCCCGGUGUAGCGGUGAAAUGCGCAGAUAUCAGGAGGAACACCGGUGGCGAAGGCGGCACUCUGGGCCGGUACUGACGCUGAGGAGCGAAAGCGUGGGGAGCGAACAGG
rnacentral:rRNA from 1 species